GAUGAACGCUAGCGGCAGGCUUAACACAUGCAAGUCGAGGGGCAGCGCGAUGUAGCAAUACAUUGGCGGCGACCGGCGCACGGGUGCGUAACACGUAUGGAACUUACCCUUUACUGGGAGAUAGCCCGGAGAAAUCCGGAUUAAUAUCCCAUAGUAAACGAGGUGGCAUCACUUUGUUUUGAAAGCUCCGGCGGUAAAGGAUGGCCAUGCGCACGAUUAGCUAGUAGGUGAGGUAACGGCUCACCUAGGCUACGAUCGUUAGGGGGCCUGAGAGGGUUAUCCCCCACACUGGUACUGAGACACGGACCAGACUCCUACGGGAGGCAGCAGUGAGGAAUAUUGCGCAAUGGAGGCAACUCUGACGCAGCCAUGCCGCGUGCAGGAAGAAGGCGCUACGCGUUGUAAACUGCUUUUAACCGGGAAGAAACCCCAGGACGUGUCCUGGGUUGACGGUACCGGAGGAAUAAGCACCGGCUAACUUCGUGCCAGCAGCCGCGGUAAAGUAGACGU
rnacentral:rRNA from 1 species